ensembl:lncRNA
GAGAGACCCUCCUGUAGGUUUUAACUCCAACCCUGUUCCUGGAGAGAGACCCUCCUGUAGGUAACUCCAACCCUGUUCCUGGAGAGAGACCCUCCUGUAGGUUUUAACUCCAACCCUGUUCCUGGAGAGAGACCCUCCUGUAGGUAACUCCAACCCUGUUCCUGGAGAGAGACCCUCCUGUAGGUUUUAACUCCAACCCAGUUCCUGGAGAGAGACCCUCCUGUAGGUAACUCCAACCCUGUUCCUGGAGAGAGACCCUCCUGUAGGUAACUCCAACCCUGUUCCUGGAGAGAGACCCUCCUGUAGGUAACUCCAACCCUGUUCCUGGAGAGAAACCCUCCUGUAGGUUUUAACUCCAACCCUGUUCCUGGAGAGAGACCCUCCUGUAGGUUUAACUCCAACCCUGUUCCUGGAGAGAGACCCUCCUGUAGGUUUUAACUCCAACCCUGUUCCUGGAGAGAGACCCUCCUGUAGGUAACUCCAACCCUGUUCCUGGAGAGAGAGAC